AUUGAACGCUAGCGGGAUGCUUUACACAUGCAAGUCGAACGGCAGCGCGGACUUCGGUCUGGCGGCGAGUGGCGAACGGGUGAGUAAUGUAUCGGAACGUGCCCAGUAGCGGGGGAUAACUACGCGAAAGCGUAGCUAAUACCGCAUACGCCCUACGGGGGAAAGCAGGGGAUCGUAAGACCUUGCACUAUUGGAGCGGCCGAUAUCGGAUUAGCUAGUUGGUGAGGUAACGGCUCACCAAGGCGACGAUCCGUAGCUGGUUUGAGAGGACGACCAGCCACACUGGGACUGUGACACGGCCCAGACUCCUACGGGAGGCAGCAGUGGGGAAUUUUGGACAAAGGGGGCAACCCUGAUCCAGCCAUCCCGCGUGUGCGAUGAAGGCCUUCGGGUUGUAAAGCACUUUUGGCAGGAAAGAAACGUCGCGGGCUAAUACCCCGUGGAACUGACGGUACCUGCAGAAUAAGCACCGGCUAACUACGUG
rnacentral:rRNA from 1 species